GUUUGCUGAAGAAGACAUCGACAGCAGCAGAGCUCCAGAAGAAUACGCUUUUUCAGAGCAACCACAAUGAAUUCAGCUUGAAGCAAAUGAGCAACCGUGUGGGCAGCAGGGGACAGAAGGCAGUGGAUGAUGGAGAGCGGAGUCUCAUUGGACCUCCAUCUGGGGAUUCUCCUGACAGUCUCCUGGACCAGGAGGCAUCCACGCCGAUUUUUGUCUACCUGUUAGCAUUUUUCUCAGCCUUGGGGGGAUUCUUGUUUGGGUAUGACACUGGGGUGGUUUCGGGGGCUAUGCUGCUCCUGAAGAAGGAGAUGAAACUGAGUGCCCUGUGGCAGGAGCUGCUGGUCUCCAGUACUGUCGGCGCAGCUGCACUCUCUGCUCUGAGUGGAGGCUUCUUGAACGGGUGGCUGGGACGCAAGAUCUGUAUCCUUGUGGCCAGUUUCAUCUUCAGCAUCGGUGGCCUUAUCUUGAGUUUAGCCCCGGACAAGGUGGUUCUUCUCGUUGGCAGAAUCACAGUUGGUUUGGGCAUAGGCAUUGCUUCUAUGACAGUACCAGUAUACAUCGCAGAAGUUUCCCCUCCACACCUGCGAGGUCAGCUGGUCACUAUCAAUUCCCUCUUUAUCACUGGUGGCCAGUUCAUUGCCAGUGUGGUCGAUGGGGCUUUCAGUUACAUGAGUCAUGAUGGCUGGAGGUACAUGUUGGGUCUGUCCGUCGUCCCAGCUAUGCUGCAAUUCUUCGGCUUCUUCUUCCUGCCUGAGAGCCCCCGUUGGCUCCUCCAAAAGGGCCAGUGCCAAAAGGCCCGUCAAGUUCUCAGCCAGAUCAGAGCAGGCCAGAACAUCAAUGAGGAGUACGACACCAUCAGACUCAGCAUUGAGGAAGAGGACAAAGAGGCGGGUGGAGGAGGCCCUGUUAUUUUACGCAUCCUUAGACACGGUCCAACUCGCAGGGCUCUCAUCGUUGGUUGUGGCCUCCAGAUGUUUCAGCAGCUGUCUGGGAUAAAUACUGUCAUGUACUACAGUGCCACCAUUCUGCAGAUGGCAGGGGUGCGGGACGAUAAACAGGCAAUCUGGCUGGCUGCUGCAACUUCCGCUACCAACUUUGUGUUCACCUUGGUUGGAGUGUGGCUUGUGGAGAGAGUGGGACGCAGGAAGCUGACCCUGGGAAGUCUUAUAGGUACUGGUCUGAGUCUGGCUUUGUUGGCAAUCGGGUUCUUGCUAUCGGCCCAGAACUCUCCACCUGUUACCCUCCAUCCAGUUGACUUUCAAAACUCAACCUGCAGACUCUACGGGUCCUGUGAGUUGUGCAUGUUGGAUCCGGAUUGUGGAUUUUGUUACCGGGACAACGGCACCAGAGUAUUCGACUCUUCCUGCGUUUCUGCCGAUCAAACGUCCACAGAUCAUGCAGCCUGGGGAAGGUGUUCCAAUCGGACAGAGGCAGCUGACAAUCCAAUCUGGGCUUAUAACUACUGUCCAACAUCUUACUCCUGGAUUGUUUUGAUGGGCCUCAUCCUCUACCUUGCAUUUUUUGCUCCAGGAAUGGGCCCGAUGCCUUGGACAGUGAACUCGGAGAUCUACCCACUUUGGGCACGAAGCGUCGGCAACGCCUGCUCAGCCGGAGUGAACUGGAUCUUCAAUGUCCUGGUGUCUCUGACUUUUCUUCAUGUUGCACAGUUUCUGACUUAUUAUGGUGCAUUCUUCAUGUACACGGGUCUAGUGGUGUUGGCCCUCCUCUUUGUCCUGGGCUGCCUCCCAGAGACUCAGGGCUUGCAGCUGGAGGAGAUCGAGAACCUGUUCACCGGUCCUCUCUGCUCUUGUGGAAGCUCGUCACCCAAUGACAAUCGCCACGUCCACUACAUCCGGGUAAAAGGCAGCAACUACCUCCCCUCUGACAACGAGGGCUCAGAUGUAGAGUAGACUGGAAAGACUUUCUCUUUCCACUCUGUCUUUCUGUUCCCCUGUCUUUUUGUUGGAAGAUUGGGAAGACUGCUCAUGCGGGGAGAAAGGUACACAUCAUGUUUCCCUCUUGGGACUGUAAUCAAACAUGAGCCAAAAAAAGGCUUGAGCUCUCCAGUGAUUGCUCGCUCGCUCGCUCGCUCAGGCAAAUCUUUUAUUAAUCUUUUUUUUUUUUUUUCUCAUCUUUCUUUGCCUUACCUGGGAGUUGGGUUGCUUUCCACUCUUUUUGUUGUGCAUUCUUCUCAAUUCCCACCAUCCUCUCUGUCAUGAUAAAAGAGAACGCUAAAGCAACCCUUCUCAGCAUCAGAGUAGGAAGAGUUCAUUUGUGACAGUGUUGCUGGGGUAAUUGAAAUCCCAGGAAAUUUUUACUGUGUCAGUAAAAAUAACUGAAACAGAUGAGAUCACUCUCAGACAUAGAUAAUAGAUCAUCAGGCAGCAAAAAUGAUCGAUUGAAGAAUUUUUGUUUUCUCAGAGAGUGCCAUUUUUAGAAGCAACACUUUUUAUGUGUUUUUCUCAGUGUGGUCAGAAAUCAAGGGAACUGGUUGCUGAAUUACUAUUUCCUCAGCCUUUCUGUAGCAUCAAGACAAAUUAUUUUCCAGAUGGUAUUAAGACGUCUUUACAUGAUUUCAGCCUGACAUCCAGAGACUACAAACCAAAUGUACCAGAGAGAAUGAGUUGGUGUAUUAGCUAAUGUGUAGUUUUAAAGUCAGAAUGAUGUCAGAAUCACACUUUCAUUGAUUUCUGCCAUAUUUGGACUUUUGCAUAUCUACACGUUGUGUAAAACAUUCUUCUUAAAAUCACUAACACGGGUUUAAUCUUGUAAUCUGCAGUGGUGUUAAACAAAACAGCCAAUUGUGGGUUGCUGAUGUUGUUUGCGCAGUGGGAGAGAUUGCACUUUAAAAGCCAGAAAUGUGUCUUUUUUUUUUUAUGUUUUCCAUAUACCAAAUUGUCCGAUUUUUUUAGCAAGGUUUGGACUUCAGCCCAGCACACUACGGAUCGGUGGGGUCAGACAGUGCCAUAGCCUAUAUAACUCUCAGAUAAUCGCGACCAAUUCCAACUGAACAGUUUAAUAAACAGCACCUUUGUACAGAAUGUCCUUUUUCCAGUUACACCCUUUGAUCUGUGCUGGUUAACUUGAGUGAUACUGAUGGCAUCUACAGGAUUUCUUACUUUUUUAUGCAUUCUUGUUUUUAUUUCAAAGUACAAACUUUGAAGUGUUUGGAAUUUGCACAAAACGUCCAUAUGGGAACACAGAAAUACUUGAUAUUUACAGCAACAUAUUUUGUGGUUACAGAUCCAUUAUACUUUCACAUGAUGUCUUACAGACAGUGUGAAAAUAUUUAAAAUGUGAUACCAUUGAUGUCACCCACUAUUCAUAUAGAACCAAUUGAUUUACAUCCUGGGUGGUAAAUGAAAAAAGCAAGAUUAAUUCACUUUGUAUUGGGAAAUGUACUGAUAUUCAGAAUACUAGCACUGCCAUUUUUUCAAGAUAACUUAUAACCUACCCUCAGGUGGACAGUGAUUCUGUUUAUACUGUAUUGAGAGUUUGGAGAAGAAAAACAUUUCAAGUAAAAGGACAUCGAUCCAUUUUAACACAGAGACAAAUGAAGUGUGUUCAGUCAUACAUAUUUUGUAUAUGAAAUGCUCAUGCUGUUUCUAAAGUUACGUUACAUGUGUCUUUGAUGAUGUUCUGUUCAUUCUUGUGAUACUUUAAUAAACAUACUCACAUCAGAG